rnacentral:lncRNA from 1 species
CAACGACCCAGGCUGUGUGAAAAUAAACACACAAUCAUUUUUGUCAUUCACUUAUCGUCACGUAAAUAACGACACAGGCAUAGCCUUAAUUAUCAUGUUUUAUUUGUCACAUAAAUAACGGCACAGGCAUAGUCUAUAUUAUCAUGUUUUAUUUAAGAUUCAUGCAAGCCAUUUUCACACUUAUCGUCACGUAAAUAACGACACA